rnacentral:rRNA from 1 species
CCUUAGAUGUUCUGGGCCGCACGCGCGCUACACUGACAGAGCCAACGAGUAUAAACCUUAACCGAGAGGUUUGGGUAAUCUUGUUAAACUCUGUCGUGCUGGGGAUAGGGCAUUGCAAUUAUUGCCCUUCAACGAGGAAUAUCUAGUAAGCGCAAGUCAUCAGCUUGCGUUGAUUACGUCCCUGCCCUUUGUACACACCGCCCGUCGCUACUACCGAUUGAAUGGCUCAGUGAGGCCUUCGGACUGACUCCAGGAGGUCGGCAACGACCACCCAGAGCCGGAAAGUUGGUCAAACUUGGUCAUUUAGAGGAAGUAAAAUUCGUAACAAGGUUUGAAGUUAGUUUCCUUCCACAGGUGACGCUCACGAGAAGCCUUUGUGACCCCGCAAGGGGUACCCGCCGCGACUGUAAACAAUGGAAUGUGGGUAUUAAAUCGCAAGUCAGCCGCCCGGCUGGCAACACUUUCGAAUUGCGGGAACACCCUAAAGCCCACCUCUACCAACCAGCCUGAGAAAUCCGGUUGGGGCCUGUGUUAACAGCACAGGGAAAGGUCAUAAUGAGGUGGGAUAGGUCAGCCUUUCCGGUUGGCGUUAUGGGCAAUCCGCAGCCAAGUCCCUAAGGUCCGCUGGUCGGGCUACGGGAAAGGUUCACAGACUAGGUGGAAGUGGGUUGGGUUCAGCACCAACUUAAGAUAUAGUCGGGCUCUGCGCGAAAGCGGGGAGGAGUCACUGUUCCGUAGGUGAACCUGCGGAAGGAUCAUUACCAAACGAGUGAGAAAUCGCUCUCUAACCUGCUCGGUGGCCCUCGGGUCGCUGACCGGUUUUAACCCUUUGUGAACCAAAAAACCUUUUCGCUUCGGCAGCUGGGCCUGACCGCCUGUCAGCCUGCCGCUAGCACCAAACCACAAACCUGUUGUCAAAACAUUGUCUGAUAACCAAAUUUUCGAAUGAAAAUUAAAACUUUCAACAACGGAUCUCUUGGUUCCCGCAUCGAUGAAGAACGCAGCGAAACGCGAUAGUUAAUGUGAAUUGCAGAAUUCAGUGAAUCAUCGAGUCUUUGAACGCACAUUGCGCCCAUUGGUAUUCCUUUGGGCAUGUCUGUUUGAGCGUCAUUACAACCCUCAGCUAACCGCUGGUUUUGAACGGGAACGGGUUCACACCCGCACCGGUUUUAAAGUUGUAAGCUCUGCUGGCUGCUCUGCCAAACCAGAACAUAGUAAAAAAAACUACUUGUUGGGGUGAAGCUAAGCGGUACGGCCUGGAACAAAACCUACCCAUUUUCAAGGUUUGACCUCAGAUCAGAUAAGGAUACCCGCUGAACUUAAGCAUAUCAAUAAGCGGAGGAAAAGAAACCAACAGGGAUUGCCUCAGUAACGGCGAGUGAAGCGGCAACAGCUCAAAUUUGAAAUCUGGAGCCUUUCGGCUUCCGAGUUGUAAUUUGAAGAGGAUGUUUCGGUGCGACCUGGGCCUAAGUUCCUUGGAACAGGACGUCAUGGAGGGUGAGAAUCCCGUACAUGGCUGCAGGUUUGCUUCUAUGUGAAACUCCUUCGAAGAGUCGAGUUGUUUGGGAAUGCAGCUCAAAAUGGGUGGUAAAUUUCAUCUAAAGCUAAAUAUUGGCGGGAGACCGAUAGCGCACAAGUAGAGUGAUCGAAAGAUGAAAAGCACUUUGAAAAGAGAGUUAAACAGUACGUGAAAUUGUUGAAAGGGAAGCGCUUGCAAUCAGACUCGCCUUCAGUUGAUCAGCCUCCCUUCUGGUUGGUGCACUCUGCUGUUGGCGGGCCAGCAUCAGUUGGGGCGGUGGGACAAAGGCGGCAGGAAUGUGGCUCGCUUCGGUGAGUGUUAUAGCCUGCUGCGUCAUGCCACCAGCCCCGAUUGAGGUCCGCGGUUCGCCUAGGAUGCUGGCUUAAUGGUUGUAAGCGAC